UACAGAGGGUGCUAGCGUUGUUCGGAAUCAUUGGGCGUAAAGGGCGUGUAGGCGGUUUGCUAAGUCAUGUGUGAAAUCCCUCGGCUUAACCGGGGAACGACGCACGAAACUGGCAAGCUAGAGUACCAAAGAGGGGGGUGGAAUUCCCGGUGUAGCGGUGAAAUGCGUAGAUAUCGUUUGGAACGCCAACGGUGAAAACAGACAGCUGGGAGUGUGCUGACGCUGAGACACGAAAGCCAGGGGAGCGAACGGG
rnacentral:rRNA from 1 species